ACGAACGCUGGCGGCGCGCUUAACACAUGCAAGUCGGACGGUCGGCACUGGAAGGUUCGCUGGAAGGUGCCGGUAGUGGCGGACGGGUGAGUAACGCGUGAGGACAUGGCUCCAGGAGGGGGAUAACGUUUGGAAACGGACGCUAAGACCCCAUAUGCCGGAAGGUGAAAAUGGUGCAAGCCAGCCUGGAGAGUGACUCGCGUCCUAUCAGCUAGUUGGUGGGGUGAAGGCCUACCAAGGCGAUGACGGGUAGCCGACCUGAGAGGGUGGCCGGCCACACUGGAACUGAGAUACGGUCCAGACUCCUACGGGAGGCAGCAGUGGGGAAUAUUGGGCAAUGGGCGCAAGCCUGACCCAGCGACGCCGCGUGGGGGAAGAAGUCUUUCGGGAUGUAAACCCUUGUUGUACGGGACGAAACGAAUGACGGUACCGUACGAGGAAGCCCCGGCAAACUACGUGCCAGCAGCCGCGGUAAUACGUAGGGGGCGAGCGUUGUCCGGAAUUACUGGGCGUAAAGCGCACGUAGGCGGGCUGUCAAGUCGGCCGUGAAAGGCACUGGCUCAACCGGUGUUUGUCGGUCGAUACUGGCGGUCUGGAGUAUGGGAGAGGGAACUGGAAUUCCCGGUGUAGCGGUGAAAUGCGUAGAUAUCGGGAGGAACACCAGUGGCGAAGGCGGGUUCCUGGCCCAUUACUGACGCUGAGGUGCGAAAGCCGGGGGAGCGAACGGGAUUAGAUACCCCGGUAGUCCCGGCUGUAAACGAUGGAUGCUAGUGGUGGGGGGGGUUCCCCUCUGUGCCGCAGCUAACGCGAUAAGCAUCCCGCCUGGGGAGUCCGAUCGCAAGAUUG
rnacentral:rRNA from 1 species